CGGCGGACGGGUGAGUAACACGUGGAUAACCUACCUAUAAGACUGGGAUAACUUCGGGAAACCGGAGCUAAUACCGGAUAAUAUAUUGAACCGCAUGGUUCAAUAGUGAAAGACGGUUUUGCUGUCACUUAUAGAUGGAUCCGCGCCGCAUUAGCUAGUUGGUAAGGUAACGGCUUACCAAGGCAACGAUGCGUAGCCGACCUGAGAGGGUGAUCGGCCACACUGGAACCGAGACACGGUCCAG
rnacentral:rRNA from 1 species